rnacentral:rRNA from 1 species
UGAGUAACCUGCCCCUGACUCUGGGAUAACCCCGGGAAACCGGAGCUAAUACCGGAUACGAACCACUCAGGCAUCUGAGAGGUAGGAAAGAUUUAUCGGUCAGGGAUGGACUCGCGGCCUAUCAGCUUGUUGGUGAGGUAAUGGCUCACCAAGGCUUCGACGGGUAGCCGGCCUGAGAGGGCGACCGGCCACACUGGGACUGAGACACGGCCCAGACUCCUACGGGAGGCAG